UAGAGCCGUAUGAGGUGAAAGUCUCACGUACGCUUCUCUGAGAAGGGAGUUUGGUUACCUACUGGAGCUUCGAUCUUAU
rfam:Nicotiana sylvestris Nsyl_contig34636, whole genome shotgun sequence.